AGAUCGACAGACAACAGCUUCACUGUAUCACCCCUUCAUCCAAUCAGAACAAGCUCCAUGAGUCAAGUCUGGUUCCUCUCAACAUCUCGGCGCAAAUGGAGUUUUUCAUCGACUGGGUGCUAAGCCCAUGAGCGCACCUGUUACUGUGACGUCAUCCGGUGAUCGAGCAUCAAGUGUUCCGAGGUUGAACAAUAAUGACCAUUUUCCAUGAAGUGGACAUUUACGUGAGUCACUGAAACAAUACCACAUCUAGACAAAUGUCCACGGUCUGAGACUUUUGAACAAGAAAUGCCCUGUGGUCUGACUGUGCUGUCAAUUCUUAAUUAUCUUAUUAAAAUCUGGCACUCAUGUGUCCUUACCGACACACCUAACCCUAACUCCUCCUGGACUAGUGCACAUACAGUUAUAAUUCAUCCUUUUCCACACUGGGGAUCAAAGAGACUAACAUAGAUUUCUAGAUUUAAUGCAAGACUUCCUGGUCCCUGACCAAAUUAUAUUUAUUUUUAUUGCCAUUUCAGUAUCUAUGGCUAUUUUCAUGGAUCGAAGUAUUUGAAAGAAACAAAUAGUAGAGUAGCAUACAGUAGUAAUGAAGAAAAAACCAACUCACAUCAAUAUAACAAACAUUAUAUUAGAUUUUUUCUUUCAAUAUUUGAUAAAUUUAUCAUUAUUCCUGACAAAACAUUUUUCAAAAACAUCCUUUAGAGAACUUUGAGUGAAAACAUUUCCCUGGUCAAAUAACCUUGUGUCACUGAAACAUGCAUCUUCUGUAAGGCUGCUUUGAAACUAUAUGUAUUGUGAAAAGCACUUUGCAAAUAAAUGUGAACUGAACCU